rnacentral:misc_RNA from 1 species
CAUCCACAUCAUGAAUCCCAUCAUUAGCAAAUUCUUGGCAGGGGCUUGAGCAAUUUCCCAAGCUUUCUGGGAUUUCCACGCCGCCUCAGCCUCCUUCUUCUGGCGGCCGGCGGCCGCAUCCUCCAGAUCUAGAGCGGAUCGGUUGAAGCCGAUCGGGUCGGGGAUGUCGGAGGGGGAGGGAGAGUUGUCGGAGAAUUCCACCGCCCAUCUCCGAGCCAAACCCUUUCCCUUCUCCAUCUUCUAUUGAGGGGAUUGAUGAGAGACGACGGCGGCGGCGGUGAGAGUGGCGGAGAUCUUGGUGGAGUCGGGAGGGG